GAUGAACGCUGGCGGCGUGCUUAACACAUGCAAGUCGAACGGGACUUACUUUAUUGAAACUUCGGUCGAUUUAAUUUAAGUCUAGUGGCGGACGGGUGAGUAACGCGUGGGUAACCUGCCUCACACUGGGGGAUAACAGUCAGAAAUGACUGCUAAUACCGCAUAAGCGCACAGCAUCGCAUGAUGCAGUGUGAAAAACUCCGGUGGUGUGAGAUGGACCCGCGUUGGAUUAGCUAGUUGGCAGGGCAGCGGCCUACCAAGGCGACGAUCGGUAGCCGGACUGAGAGGUUGAACGGCCACAUUGGGACUGAGACACGGCCCAG
rnacentral:rRNA from 1 species